UCCACGCAGUAAACGGUGCGCACUAGGUGUGGGAGGAUCGACCCCUUCUGUGCCGCAGCUAACGCAUUAAGUGCGCCGCCUGGGGAGUACGGUCGCAAGAUUGAAACUCAAAGGAAUUGACGGGGGCCCGCACAAGCGGUGGAGUAUGUGGUUUAAUUCGAUGCAACGCGAAGAACCUUACCCGGGCUUGAACUGAUGGGAAAACCCCGUGAAAGCGGGACUGACUUCGGUCA
rnacentral:rRNA from 1 species